CUUACUCUGCCAUUUUCCAGCUGUGUGGCUUUGGGCAAGUUAUUUAACCUCUCUGUGCCUCAACUUCUUCAUGUAAACUGGCAGUAAUAAUAAUACGAAUGCCACAGAGCUGUGGAUGAAAUGAGCCCAUUCCGGUCUGGCUUCUUUAACCAGGAAGAUGUGGGCUGAGAGCUGUGGAGUAGAUGUCUUCACCAGAUGAGUACACAGAGAAGUAGAGAAUGUGUAUCUGCAGAGUAGGAUGAAGCAGAGACAAGUCUUGUGAAUAAGGUAUUCAGGAAGCACAGCUGUCUUUUGUUCCUGAAGCCGUAUCAGGAUUCAGCAGGAAAGAGCACCAAGAUCACUUGGCAAUGUUUAUCCUGAUCAAGCACGGGCACUGAUGGCAGAUGCAGGACAAAGGACAGAACUCUAAGUCAUCCCUGUGCUCACCUGAGACAAAUGCAUGUCUGAUUGCUUCCACUGAUGUAAAAAUGCAGAUUUGCUGAGUUAGACGAAGACGAUGGCAGAGAGCAGUCUUCAUCCUGAGCCCCAUUCCUAGGUAAGUAGCUGAAUUGGGGUUUUGUUUUGGAAAUUCUCCUUAAUGGCUAAAGUUAAGAUUAACAACCAGCUGGUCUUAAUUUCUUCUUACCAUUAGAGCACUCAGUAAUCUAAUAUAAAUUAUAAAUCUAAUAUAUUAGAUUUAUUUUGGGUUUGACCAACUCUAUCUGACUUGAUCAAAUCCAAAGGAAAGUUCCAAAUUAUGGGGAAUAAGGCCUCUGAAUUGGCUACAUUCCUGCAGCUGAAAAUAAGGAAAGAAAAAAGGGAAAAAGUAAAAGCAGCCAGGCCGGGCAUGGUGGCUCAAACCUGUAA
rnacentral:lncRNA from 1 species